CUUCAGUUGCACAAGCCUGAACCUUUGAUUAUCUUUGUUGAACACUGUUUUUUGGCUCCAGAAGCUUCUGGACGCUCAAGUGUACCUACGUUUGGUGGAUUUCGUUUGGAUUUCGUUUCCAAGGAUCAAGCUGGCAGCUUCCUGUUAUUCUCCGACUCCAGGACCAAGGCAGAAGCGUACCCUGUCCACCCUCCAACGCAAGUACCUGAACAUUGAACUAAUUCCUGAACUUACCAGUACUCACUUUUCAGCUCAAGCAAAACCAUCUGGAUUACUUUGCUUCGCACACCUGGGUCCCGACUCUCUCUACCCCUGGCAACCUGACGGCAUUUGUUUAUUGGCGAAUUUACCCGUUCAUGUCCAAGACUCACUGGUUGUAAAUGAACACCAUUCACUUAUUCAGUUUCCUCUGAGUGUUCUUCUGCAAGUGGGUCAGAUCUAUUACAAAGAAAAGGACACAUUGUUGUUCUGCUGCUGCUUUGAAUAUGCUUUCUAACCCUUUGCAGACUGAUGGAUAUCAAUGGGUUGAUUUUUCUAUUUACAAAAUAAAAUGGAAGACAAUCUGAA